UAUAUUAAUGAAUAUUUAUAUUAUUGAUAAUUAAUUAUUAGUUAAUUAGUAUGCCAGGUGAGAGUGAAUCUGUGUGACUACAGCAUUAUUUUCCACUAUGUAUUAUUGUAGCUUCACAUAACGGACUAGGAUUCUCAGCUAUCAAGCCAGGACCAGUCAGCUGUGCCAACUCAUUGUGACUCCAGCGUCAGGACCGACCGGAUAAGUUCUCUUCGCCAGGGUCAAGGUCAGCAUGGAAUACAUGUGUUGGGUCGUUACGUAGGCCAGGGUCAGCGACUUGCUUGGAGGCUGAGUCACAGUAUAUCUACUAUUGGGAUGGCUGUCGUGUCAAGGACACUAGUGUGUACAUCCCAGCUUUCCUGUCGUGUCUUGGACACUACUUCACAUAACGGACUAGGAUUCUCAGCUAUCAAGCCAGGACCAGUCAGCUGUGCCAACUCAUUGUGACUCCAGCGUCAGGACCGACCGGAUAAGUUCUCUUCGCCAGGGUCAAGGUCAGCAUGGAAUACAUGUGUUGGGUCGUUACGUAGGCCAGGGUCAGCGACUUGCUUGGAGGCUGAGUCACAGUAUAUCUACUAUUGGGAUGGCUGUCGUGUCAAGGACACUAGUGUGUACAUCCCAGCUUUCCUGUCGUGUCUUGGACACUACUUCACAUAACGGACUAGGAUUCUCAGCUAUCAAGCCAGGACCAGUCAGCUGUGCCAACUCAUUGUGACUCCAGCGUCAGGACCGACCGGAUAAGUUCUCUUCGCCAGGGUCAAGGUCAGCAUGGAAUACAUGUGUUGGGUCGUUACGUAGGCCAGGGUCAGCGACUUGCUUGGAGGCUGAGUCACAGUAUAUCUACUAUUGGGAUGGCUGUCGUGUCAAGGACACUAGUGUGUACAUCCCAGCUUUCCUGUCGUGUCUUGGACACUACUUCACAUAACGGACUAGGAUUCUCAGCUAUCAAGCCAGGACCAGUCAGCUGUGCCAACUCAUUGUGACUCCAGCGUCAGGACCGACCGGAUAAGUUCUCUUCGCCAGGGUCAAGGUCAGCAUGGAAUACAUGUGUUGGGUCGUUACGUAGGCCAGGGUCAGCGACUUGCUUGGAGGCUGAGUCACAGUAUAUCUACUAUUGGGAUGGCUGUCGUGUCAAGGACACUAGUGUGUACAUCCCAGCUUUCCUGUCGUGUCUUGGACACUACUUCACAUAACGGACUAGGAUUCUCAGCUAUCAAGCCAGGACCAGUCAGCUGUGCCAACUCAUUGUGACUCCAGCGUCAGGACCGACCGGAUAAGUUCUCUUCGCCAGGGUCAAGGUCAGCAUGGAAUACAUGUGUUGGGUCGUUACGUAGGCCAGGGUCAGCGACUUGCUUGGAGGCUGAGUCACAGUAUAUCUACUAUUGGGAUGGCUGUCGUGUCAAGGACACUAGUGUGUACAUCCCAGCUUUCCUGUCGUGUCUUGGACACUAGUGAGUUUGCCAAUUUGGGCGUUUCAAGCAAGCAUGGUGCUGCUUGAUGUGUUUAUACCUCUUGGCUCUGGAUUGAGCGUGGUUGCAGGUUAGCGACUGUCUUGCACCGGAACUGUACCAGGAUCCCAUUCGUCGUUGUGUGUGUAGCUACAGACUGUAACUUGUAAUAAUUGUGUUUGUGAAUGAGUGAAUUAGUGAGUGUGACGUGUGGGUA